CCUACGGGAGGCUGCAGUAGGGAAUAUUGCUCAAUGGGGGAAACCCUGAAGCAGCAACGCCGCGUGGAGGAUGAAGGUUUUCGGAUUGUAAACUCCUUUUGUUAGAGAAGAUAAUGACGGUAUCUAACGAAUAAGCACCGGCUAACUCCGUGCCAGCAGCCGCGGUAAUACGGAGGGUGCAAGCGUUACUCGGAAUCACUGGGCGGAAAGAGCGCGUAGGCGGGAUAGAAAGUCAGAUGUGAAAUCCUAUGGCUUAACCAUAGAACUGCAUUUGAAACUGUUAUUCUAGAGUAUGGGAGAGGUAGGUGGAAUUCUUGGUGGAGGGGUAAAAUCCGUAGAGAUCAAGAGGAAUACUCAUUGCGAAGGCGACCUGCUAGAACAUAACUGACGCUGAUGCGCGAAAGCGUGGGGAGCAAACAGGAUUAGAUACCCGGGUAGUC
rnacentral:rRNA from 1 species